UACGAAGGGGGCUAGCGUUGCUCGGAAUUACUGGGCGUAAAGGGAGCGUAGGUGGACAGUUUAGUCAGAGGUGAAAGCCCAGGGCUCAACCUUGGAAUUGCCUUUGAUACUGGCUGUCUUGAGUACGGAAGAGGUAUGUGGAACUCCGAGUGUAGAGGUGAAAUUCGUAGAUAUUCGGAAGAACACCAGUGGCGAAGGCGACAUACUGGUCCGUUACUGACACUGAGGCUCGAAAGCGUGGGGAGCAAACAGG
rnacentral:rRNA from 1 species